CACUUUAGAGACUAUACAGGUAAUCUAUUUAUAAGAUAAGUGAUUGUUAACAAAGCUUCGGUCCAGAACUUUGAAGGCAUAUUUGCUCGAAACAUCAAAGAUCUGACAACUUCAAGAAUGUUCAAGCUUUGGUUGGGCUUCGGAUUUGUGAAACAUCACAUAUGACCAGAAGCUGAAGUCAUGCUAGCCAGGCUUGCGAACAAAACAAGAGCCAAGAAGGGGACACUUCCUCCUUCCGUCGAUCGUGAAUUGAAGGAAGCGGCAGCAGCGGCAAAAGGGAAAUCCAAAGCACGGAUUGCGACCCCGACCCCCUCUCCAAACGCCACUGCUUCAGAACAACAGUCAAACCCCACUACCACCAGAGA